rnacentral:rRNA from 1 species
GACGAACGCUGGCGGCGUGCCUAAUACAUGCAAGUAGAACGCACAGUUUAUACCGUAGCUUGCUACACCAUAGACUGUGAGUUGCGAACGGGUGAGUAACGCGUAGGUAACCUGCCUGGUAGCGGGGGAUAACUAUUGGAAACGAUAGCUAAUACCGCAUAAUAUUAAUUAUUGCAUGAUAAUUAAUUGAAAGGUGCAAUUGCACCACUACCAGAUGGACCUGCGUUGUAUUAGCUAGUAGGUGAGGUAACGGCUCACCUAGGCGACGAUACAUAGCCGACCUGGGGGGGUGAUCGGCCACACUGGGACUGGGACACGGCCCAAGCUCCUACGGGAGGGAGCAGUAGGGAAACUUCGGCAAUGGACGAAAGUCUGACCGGGCAACGGCGCGGGAGUGAAUAAGGGUUUCGGGUCGGAAAGCUCUGUUGUAAGAGAAGAACGGGUGUGAGAGUGGAAAAUUCACACUGUGACGGUAUCUUACCAGAAAGGGACGGCUAACUACGUG